GAUGAAGAACGUAGCGAAAUGCGAUAAGUAAUGUGAAUUGCAGAAUUCAGUGAAUCAUCGAAUCUUUGAACGCACAUUGCGCCCGCCAGUAUUCUGGCGGGCAUGCCUGUUCGAGCGUCAUUUCAACCAUCAAGCCCUGCUUGCGUUGGGGUCCUGCGGCUGCCCGCAGGCCCUGAAAACCAGUGGCGGGCUCGCUAGUCACACCGAGCGCAGUAAUACAUCUCGCUUUGGGCGUGCGGCGGGUUCUUGCCGUUAAACACCCCCUUUUUACCAAGGUUGACCUCGGAUCAGGUAGGAAUACCCGCUGAACUUAAGCAUUUCAAUAAGCGGAGGA
rnacentral:misc_RNA from 1 species